UACAGAGGUCUCAACCGUUGUUCGGAUUCAUUGGGCGUAAAGGGUGCGUAGGCGGUCGUGCAAGUCGGAUGUGAAAUCUCAGGGCUCAACCCUGAAACUGCAUUCGAUACGGGCAGGCUAGAGUUCGGUAGGGGAGACUGGAAUUCCUGGUGUAGCGGUGAAAUGCGCAGAUAUCAGGAGGAACACCGGUGGCGAAGGCGGGUCUCUGGGCAGUAACUGACGCUGAGGAGCGAAAGCGUGGGGAGCGAACAGG
rnacentral:rRNA from 1 species